CUUCAUCAUGACCCCAACCCAAAUUAGCUUGUUGAUUUUCUUUUCUGACUGGCGUUCUCUCGGCUCUCGCGGCAAGAGGCGCGGCGGCACCGCCGCUGUUCGCACCUGCGCGACUUCGCCGAGACGGCCACCUCAACGGUUUGGACAUGCGGUAACUUAAUCUGGUGGAUGAUCGACUUAUCCUAUCUCAGCACAAUGCCGAUUAAGGAAAUAGAAAAUUACAACGAGCCAGUGAUAGAUGCUCCCGAUGGAAGGACUUCAAGCAGCGAUGGAGGUGCGCCGGACAUUAAUCGCGCCGCUCGUCCUUUUUCUAACCGUGUCUCCUGAUGAGGUAAAUUCGGAUGUUCUUCCUUAUGACUUGACUGAUAGGAAGAGAAUGUUAGGAUACGUUGGCCAAAAGCUACAUCAUGGGAGAAGGCAAAUGUAUUUGAUUAGAAAGAUCCCACAACCUGGGUUUUAAGGACUUGAUCACUGCUGUAUAUGAAGUUUUUUAGAUUUGCCACAUGAAUGUACUUCCGAUUGUUACAUUUUGAAUAAUUUUUGCUAUCAUAUAAUUACACAAAAAUUAUUGGUGACCGUUUUGAUGCCAUAAAGGACAGGUAAAUCAUAAUGGAUUGAAUACGAACAACCCAACCCUAGUUCUCGGA